rnacentral:rRNA from 1 species
AUUGAACGCUGGCGGCAUGCCUUACACAUGCAAGUCGAACGGCAGCGCGGACUUCGGUCUGGCGGCGAGUGGCGAACGGGUGAGUAAUACAUCGGAACGUACCCUGUUGUGGGGGAUAACUAGUCGAAAGAUUAGCUAAUACCGCAUACGACCUGAGGGUGAAAGUGGGGGACCGCAAGGCCUCACGCAGCAGGAGCGGCCGAUGUCUGAUUAGCUAGUUGGUGGGGUAAAGGCCCACCAAGGCGAGGAACCGGAGCUGGUCUGAGAGGACGAUCAGCCACACUGGGACUGAGACACGGCCAAGACUCCUACGGGAGGCAGCAGUGGGGAAUUUUGGAGAAUGGGGGCAACCCUGAUUCAGCAAUGCCGCGUGUGUGAAGAAGGCCUUCGGGUUGUAAAGCACUUUUGUCCGGAAAGAAAUCGCGCUGGUUAAUACCUGGCGUGGAUGACGGUACCGGAAGAAUAAGCACCGGCUAACUACGUGCCAGCCGCCGCGGUAA